rnacentral:tRNA from 1 species
GUCCAGGGGCGGGAAUCGAACCCACACCCUUCUGCUUACCGGGCAGGUGCCUUGUCCGCUCGGCUACCCUGGA